UCCAGGCGGCAUUGUGCUACCUGAUUUUUAUUUUUUUCGUUGCUAUUUUUUUGUCCUGGAGGGUGGAGAUUAGCACUGGAGUGAAAGGACAGGGAGCUCGUUAGUGCCAGCUCGUUACCUGCCUCCUUGGCCUGCAGCCAGCGUGGGGAACAGCCAAGUCCCAGAAGGAGGACUCGUGCUCGGCGCAGGGCGAGGCCACACCCCAGCCCAAGCUCUGCCGCUCCUUCACCGUGGGGAACACGGAGAAGGCUUGGGAGGUGAAGGAGAGCCGAUCCAAGUCCGUGUGUGCCAUCCCACCCCCGCAGCCCGGCGGCGCAACCUGGGCCGGGAGGAAAGACGCGAAGAGCGAGCUGAGUCUGGAGAUGUACAAACACAAGGGAUGCUCUGGCUCCCCAUGAGGGUCUGACCCCUUCAG